CAUUCUAUGGCUUACUGGUUAUAGCGUGUGCCCAUGAUAAGUAAUCAAAUAUCGUGAGUGUGUGGGUUCGAAUCCCACUAUGGCCA